rnacentral:rRNA from 1 species
UGGGGAAUUGUUCGCAAUGGGCGCAAGCCUGACGACGCAACGCCGCGUGGAGGAUGAAGGUCUUCGGAUUGUAAACUCCUGUUGCCCGGGACGAAUGGCUUCAACCUAAUACGUUGAAGUGUGACGGUACCGGGUGAGGAAGCCCCGGCUAACUCUGUGCCAGCAGCCGCGGUAAUACAGAGGGGGCAAGCGUUGUUCGGAAUUACUGGGCGUAAAGGGCGCGUAGGCGGCCUGCUAAGUCGAACGUGAAAUCCCUGGGCUCAACCCAGGAACUGCGUCCGAUACUGGUUGGCUUGAAUCCGGGAGAGGGAUGUGGAAUUCCAGGUGUAGCGGUGAAAUGCGUAGAUAUCUGGAGGAACACCGGUGGCGAAGGCGACAUCCUGGACCGGUAUUGACGCUGAGGCGCGAAAGCCAGGGGAGCAAACGGGAUUAGAUACCCCGGUAGUCCUGGCCCUAAACGAUGAAUGCUUGGUGUGGUGGGUAUCGAUCCCUACCGUGCCGAAGCUAACGCAUU